rnacentral:rRNA from 1 species
UACGUAGGCAGCGAGCGUUGUUCGGAGUUACUGGGCGUAAAGGGUGUGUAGGCGGUUGUUUAAGUUUGGUGUGAAAUCUCCCGGCUCAACUGGGAGGGUGCGCCGAAUACUGAAUGACUUCGAGUGCGGGAGAGGAGAGUGGAAUUCCUGGUGUAGCGGUGAAAUGCGUAGAUAUCAGGAGGAACACCGGUGGUGUAGACGGCUCUCUGGACCGUAACUGACGCUGAGACACGAAAGCGUGGGUAGCAAACGGG